rnacentral:rRNA from 1 species
GAUGAACGCUGGCGGCGUGCCUAAUACAUGCAAGUCGAGCGAACGGACCAGAAGCUUGCUUCUCUGAUGUUAGCGGCGGACGUGCGAGUAACACGUGGAUAACCUACCUAUAAGACUGGGCUCACUUCGGGAAACCGGCGCUAAUACCGCAUGAUAUUUUGAACCGCAUGGUUCAACAGUGAAAGACGGUCUCCCUGUCACUCAUAGAUGGAUCCGCGCUGCAUUAGCUAGUUGGUAAGGUAACGGCUUACCAAGGCAACGAUGCAUAGCCGACCUCGGAGGGUGAUCGGCCACACGUGAACUGAGACACGGUGCAGAGUGCUACGGGAGGCAGCAGGCGGGAAUCUUCCGCCAUGGGCGAAAACCUGACGGAGCAUCGGCGCGCUGGUUAUGAAGGUGUCCGGAUCGUGAGACUCUGUUAUUAGGGAAGAACAUAUGUGUAAGGGACUGUGCACAUCGUGACGGUACCUUAUCAGAAAGGCACGGCUAACUACGUG